CCUACGGGUGGCAGCAGUGAGGAAUAUUGGUCAAUGGACGAGAGUCUGAACCAGCCAAGUAGCGUGAAGGAUGACUGCCCUAUGGGUUGUAAACUUCUUUUAUAUGGGAAUAAAACGUUCCACGUGUGGGAUUUUGUAUGUACCAUAAGAAUAAGGAUCGGCUAACUCCGUGCCAGCAGCCGCGGUAAUACGGAGGAUCCGAGCGUUAUCCGGAUUUAUUGGGUUUAAAGGGAGCGUAGGUGGAUUGUUAAGUCAGUUGUGAAAGUUUGCGGCUCAACCGUAAAAUUGCAGUUGAAACUGGCAGUCUUGAGUACAGUAGAGGUGGGCGGAAUUCGUGGUGUAGCGGUGAAAUGCUUAGAUAUCACGAAGAACUCCGAUUGCGAAGGCAGUUCACUGGACUGCAACUGACACUGAGGCUCGAAAGUGUGGGUAUCAAACAGGAUUAGAUACCCUUGUAGUC
rnacentral:rRNA from 1 species